rnacentral:rRNA from 1 species
UACGGAGGGUGCAAGCGUUAUCCGGAUUCACUGGGUUUAAAGGGUGCGUAGGUGGGCUAGUAAGUCCGUGGUGAAAUCUCCGAGCUUAACUCGGAAACUGCCGUGGAUACUAUUAGUCUUGAAUAUCGUGGAGGUAAGCGGAAUAUGUCAUGUAGCGGUGAAAUGCUUAGAUAUGACAUAGAACACCGAUAGCGGAGGCAGCUUACUACGCGAUUAUUGACACUGAGGCACGAAAGCGUGGGGAUCAAACAGG